rnacentral:rRNA from 1 species
AUUGAACGCUGGCGGCAGGCCUAACACAUGCAAGUCGAGCGGAUGAAGGGAGCUUGCUCCUGGAUUCAGCGGCGGACGGGUGAGUAAUGCCUAGGAAUCUGCCUGGUAGUGGGGGAUAACGUCCGGAAACGGGCGCUAAUACCGCAUACGUCCUGAGGGAGAAAGUGGGGGAUCUUCGGACCUCACGCUAUCAGAUGAGCCUAGGUCGGAUUAGCUAGUUGGUGGGGUGAUGGCCUACCAAGGCGACGAUCCGUAACUGGUCUGAGUGGAUGAUCAGUCACACUGGAACUGAGCCACGGUCCAGGCUCCUACGGGAGGCAGCAGUGGGGAAUAUUGGACAAUGGGCGAAAGCCUGAUCCAGCCAUGCCGCGUGUGUGGAGAAGGUCUUCGGAUUGUAAAGCACUUUAAGUUGGGAGGAAGGGCAGUAAGUUAAUACCUUGCUGUUUUGACGUUACCAACAGAAUAAGCACCGGCUAACUUCGUG